AUCUGCGCCCUGCUCAGUAAAGGGAGGCCGGCAAGGAGCAGGAGUGUCCCUGACUUCUCUCAACGACCAUAGUUCUAGCACUACCCCCGCCUGGACUGCCAGGAAGCCAGGCUUGCUGAUAAAAUGAGCACAAGUGCGCAGAGGACCCGCUGGCAGGCAUGAAGAGGCGCAGGUCAAGAAAGCAGGCACUGGCAAAACGAGGGAGAAGAUAAAGUCCUUCCUAUCAUGGGUGUGAUCUCUCUGGAAAAGACUGAGCUAACAAGUGAGCUUCAUAAUUCCUCAUUCAUAGAAGGACCUG